rnacentral:tRNA from 2 species
GGGCCUGUAGCUCAGCGGUUAGAGCAGGGGACUCAUAAUCCUUUGGUCGUGGGUUCAAACCCCACCGGGCCCACCU